rnacentral:miRNA from 2 species
UGUUUAUGAAUGACUGCUCUCA